CUCUCCUUUUUAGCUGUUUUCCAUGGCCAUAGGGUAUGUGGUUGGUAAAUGUGUCAUCUGUUUUUGGUGAUUUUAUUCUCCCAUCUGCUCUCUUUGUCAGUAAACUCAUACACACACAGUCACUCACCCUCGAUAGAUCACACAAAGGCAUGCAUAUUCACUCACCCUUCACAAGCACUCCACAAUGCCCCUGUCCUCGUUCUUUGAGCAGAUGUCAUUGUGAGCUUUCAUACAGGAGGACAUUAGUAGGAGGUCUAUCAUACAGGAGGAGGUCAGUAGGUCUACCUAUCAUACAGGAGGAGGUCAGUAGGUCUACCUAUCAUACAGGAGGAGGUCAGUAGGUCUACCUAUCAUACAGGAGGAGGUCAGUAGAAGGUCUAUCAUACAGGAGGAACUCAGUGGGAGGUCUAUCAUACAGGAGGACAUUAGUAGGAGGUCUAUCAUACAGGAAUAACUCAGUAGAAGGUCUAUCAUGCAGGAGGAACUCAGUAGGAGGUCUAUCAUGCAGGAGGAUCUCAAUAGAAGGUCUAACAUACAGGAGGAACUCAGUAGGAGGUCUACCUAUUAUACAGCAGGAUCUCAGUAGAAGGUCUAACAUACAGGAGGAUCUCAGUAGAAGGUCUAACAUACAGGAGGAACUCAGUAGAAGGUCUAACAUACAGGAGGAUCUCAGUAGAAGGUCUAACAUACUGGAGGAUCUCAGUAGGAGGUCUAUCAUGCAGGAGGAACUCAGUAGUAAGUUGAUUGCUGACAAAAGGCUCCUGUCAGGUGAGUUGGUGGCCGAGGCCACGUGGCAGAUUUAGACUUUGUCCC
ensembl:lncRNA